UACGUAGGGUGCAAGCGUUAAUCGGAAUUACUGGGCGUAAAGCGUGAGCAGGCGGUUAUAUAAGACAGAUGUGAAAUCCCCGGGCUCAACCUGGGAACUGCAUUUGUGACUGUAUAGCUAGAGUACGGUAGAGGGGGAUGGAAUUCCGCGUGUAGCAGUGAAAUGCGUAGAUAUGCGGAGGAACACCGAUGGCGAAGGCAAUCCCCUGGACCUGUACUGACGCUCAUGCACGAAAGCGUGGGGAGCAAACAGG
rnacentral:rRNA from 1 species